rnacentral:rRNA from 1 species
GAUGAACGCUGGCGGCGUGCCUAACACAUGCAAGUCGAACGGACUCAUACUGAAACCUAGUGAUUUAUGAGUUAGUGGCGGACGGGUGAGUAACGCGUGGAAAACCUGCCGUAUACCGGGGGAUAACACUUAGAAAUAGGUGCUAAUACCGCAUAAGCGCACAGCUUCGCAUGAAGCAGUGUGAAAAACUCCGGUGGUAUACGAUGGUUCCGCGUCUGAUUAGCUAGUUGGCGGGGUAACGGCCCACCAAGGCAGCGAUCAGUAGCCGGCCUGAGAGGGUGAACGGCCACAUUGGGACUGAGACACGGCCCAA